UAACAUACUUAUAGAUGGUUAUUGCACAGUUGGAAAGCUGAAUGAAGCUUUUCGCUGCCUCAAUGAGAUGUCAGAAAAAAAAGUUGUUCCCAAUGUCGUAACAUAUAAUACACUUAUAAAUGGGC
rnacentral:miRNA from 1 species